UACGGAGGGUGCGAGCGUUGUUCGGAAUCACUGGGCGUAAAGGGCUCGUAGGUGGUCAACUAAGUCGGACGUGAAAUCCCUCGGCUUAACCGGGAACUGCGUCCGAUACUGGAUGACUUGAGUUCGGGAGAGGGAUGCGGAAUUCCAGGUGUGAGCGGUGAAAUGACGUAGAUAUCUGGAGGAACACCGGUGGCGAAGGCGGCAUCCUGGACCGACACUGACGCUGAGGAGCGAAAGCC
rnacentral:rRNA from 1 species